UACGUAGGGUGCAAGCGUUGUCCGGAAUUAUUGGGCGUAAAGAGCUCGUAGGCGGUUUGUCGCGUCUGCUGUGAAAACUCGGGGCUCAACUUCGAGCUUGCAGUGGGUACGGGCAGGCUAGAGUGCGGUAGGGGAGACUGGAAUUCCUGGUGUAGCGGUGGAAUGCGCAGAUAUCAGGAGGAACACCGGUGGCGAAGGCGGGUCUCUGGGCCGUAACUGACGCUGAGGAGCGAAAGCGUGGGGAGCGAACAGG
rnacentral:rRNA from 1 species